rfam:Flavobacterium aquatile LMG 4008 contig3, whole genome shotgun sequence.
UUCUAGCCCUGAUUGCAAUGGAAAGCUUUUUCUAAAAAUAAUUUAGUUUUUCUUAUUUUUAAAAAGCGACCAAAGGAAGCUCUUUUAAAAAUUUUAGAAAAACAGAUUAUUUUAGAAAAACUUGUAAUGGAAAGCUGGAUUGGCU